GAUGAACGCUGGCGGCGUGCCUAAUACAUGCAAGUCGAGCGAACAGAUGAGGAGCUUGCUCCUCUGACGUUAGCGGCGGACGGGUGAGUAACACGUGGAUAACCUACCUAUAAGACUGGGAUAACUUCGGGAAACCGGAGCUAAUACCGGAUAAUAUAUUGAACCGCAUGGUUCAAUAGUGAAAGACGGUUUUGCUGUCACUUAUAGAUGGAUCCGCGCCGCAUUAGCUAGUUGGUAAGGUAACGGCUUACCAAGGCAACGAUGCGUAGCCGACCUGAGAGGGUGAUCGGCCACACUGGAACUGAGACACGGUCCAGACUCCUACGGGAGGCAGCAGUAGGGAAUCUUCCGCAAUGGGCGAAAGCCUGACGGAGCAACGCCGCGUGAGUGAUGAAGGUCUUCGGAUCGUAAAACUCUGUUAUUAGGGAAGAACAAAUGUGUAAGUAACUAUGCACGUCUUGACGGUACCUAAUCAGAAAGCCACGGAUAACUACGUG
rnacentral:rRNA from 1 species